AGAGUUUGAUCCUGGCUCAGAACGAACGCUGGUGGUAUGCUUAACACAUGCAAGUCGAACGAGUACGACCUAGCUUGCUAGGUACGAUGAGUGGCAGACGGGUGAGUAAUGUAUAGGAAUCUACCUAGUAGUAAGGAAUAACUCAUGGAAACAUGAGCUAAUACUGUAUACUACCGAUUUAUCGGGAAAGGCUUCGGCCGCUAUUAGAUGAGCCUAUAUCGGAUUAGUUUGUUGGUGGGGUAAAGGCCUACCAAGACUGUGAUCUGUAGCUGGUUUGAGAGAAUGAUCAGCCACACUGGAACUGCGACACGGUCCAGACUCCUACGGGAGGCAGCAGUGAGGAAUUUUGGACAAUGGGCGAAAGCCUGAUCCAGCAAUACCACGUGAGUGAUGAAGGCCUUAGGGUUGUAAAGCUCUUUCAGUAGGGAAGAUAAUGACGGUACCUACAGAAGAAGCACCGGCUAAUUCCGUGCCAGCAGCCGCGGUAAUACGGAAGGUGCUAGCGUUGUUCGGAUUUAUUGGGCGUAAAGCGUACGUAGGCGGUUUAGUGUGUUAGAUGUGAAAUCCCAGAGCUCAACUUUGGAAUUGCAUUUAAAACUGCUAGACUUGAGUAUAAUAAGAGAUGGCGGAAUUUCUAGUGUAGGGGUGAAAUCCGUAGAUAUUAGAGGGAACAUCAGAGGUGCAGACGACCAUCUUGGUUAUAGCUGACGCUGAGGUACGAAAGCGUGGGUAGCAAACAGGAUUAGAUACCCUGGUAGUCCACGCCGUAAACGAUGAGUGCUAGGUGUCCGGAAUUAAUUUUCUGGGUGACGAAGCUAACGCGUUAAGCACUCCGCCUGGGGACUACGGUCGCAAGACUAAAACUCAAAGGAAUUGACGGGGACCCGCACAAGCGGUGGAACAUGUGGUUUAAUUCGAUGCUACGCGAAAAACCUUACCAGCUCUUGACAUCCCGAUCGCGAGGCACAGAGAUGAGCCUCUUUAGUUCGGCUGGAUCGGUGACAGGUGCUGCAUGGCUGUCGUCAGCUCGUGUCGUGAGAUGUUAGGUUAAGUCCUUUAACGAGCGCAACCCUCGUCCUUAUUUGCCAUCAGGUUAUGCUGGGAACUAUAAGGAGACCGCCGGUGACAAACCGGAGGAAGGUGGGGAUGAUGUCAAGUCAUCAUGGCCCUUAUGGGCUGGGCUACACACAUGCUACAAUGGGAGUUACAACGGGAUGCAAAGGAGCGAUCUGGAGCAAAUCCUUUAAAAGCUCUCUCAGUUCGGAUUGCAGGCUGCAACUCGCCUGCAUGAAGUUGGAAUCGCUAGUAAUCGCGGAUCAGCACGCCGCGGUGAAUACGUUCUCGGGUCUUGUACACACUGCCCGUCAAGCCAUGGAAAUUGCUUCUGCCCGAAUUCGGUGAGCUAACUCGCAAGAGAGGUAGCCGAACACGGUGGGGGCGGUAACUGGGGUUAAGUCGUAACAAGGUAACC
rnacentral:rRNA from 1 species